rnacentral:lncRNA from 1 species
GUUCUGGAAGGAAGAUUACUACAUACUUUCCUGUAUGACAUUAAUUGAGAAAUCCUGGGCCAAUGUCUGUCUGAGGAAACGUAGAUCUGCCUGUUCACAGGAUAGAGACUUUGAAGACUGUGUAGAGGAGCUUUCAAUUGACCAACUUGAGUUACAACCAGCCCUUGGAAAUCAAUUGACAGUCUAGCAGCUUUGCACAACUGGUCUUGGCUGCUACUCUGCCUGGCAGUGUCUUUCUUUCAAUAGUGCCUUCACCACCAUCUCUCUCCAAGCACCACAGCAAAGGUACUGAAGGAUUUUUUUCUCCUCCAUAUAUUCAAUUCUGAUGGGAGAAAUACUAGUGCUUCAAUGAAAC